AGGCAUUCUCAACGGUCCAGAUCGACGAUAACAUGCGUCAGAAAACAAAACAAUUGUGCUACGGUGUGAUAUACGGUAUGGAAACAAGGACUCUUGCAGAAACUCUUGCUAUUAGCGAACGAGAAGCUAACGUAGUUUUGGAAUCAUUCAUGGGGGCUUAUCCAGAAAUCCGUCAAUGGCUAACUCGAGUGAUUGAGCAAACUCGUACUGACGGUUACGUAACAACUUUGAUGUUACGUCGCAGAUUUCUUCCGGCGCUCAACAAAGAAAAAUCCAGUGAAAGAUUGCAAUAUAACAGGCGCAAACAUGUCUAUGGAGGAAAUGUCAGUAAAUCAAGUUGAGAUUAAAGAGAAUCAGCUUUGAUUCCUAGCAGCGGCUUCCAUGGUGAAGGCCAAGAACUACAUACAAAGCGGUGUAUUAAACAAAUUUUUCCAUUCAGCGGAACAGUCAUCCUGAGUGCUGCAAUUUGGACACUCAGAUUGUGAUGUCCAAAAUACGCAAACACGUCUACAGAUGAAAUCGCAGUGGAUGAAUUUGACGCUGAAGAGAAUUCAGCUUUGAUUGCAGCAGCGGCUUUCAUGGUAUAAAAGCAAAGAACUAGAAAGUGGUGGAUUGAACAAUUUUUCCCACCCAGCAGAACAAAUCAAUCCUCAGUGUUGCAAUUUUAAACACUCAAGUGAAUCAAGUCUUUGUUAGAACGUUGAAAAGAAAUUUUGGAAAAGGUAAAAGUGAAAAAAUAGAGCGCAUAUGAAGAAAAUUGUAGGAAAAAGGAAUCGGAAAUAGCACCGGUCUUGAACAGUUCAUUGACGGAGCUAUACUUCAGUAUGAAAUAAAUAAAAACAUCUUUAUAGAAUUUAA